UCGCCGGCAGGAAUCUUCUUUCUUUUCUUGCCUUUUACCUCCCCAUUUUCACCCCUAUCUCCCUGGAUUAUAUAUAUAGUCGCCGCCUGGCAUGUGUUUGCAUCUAACGCAGAAGAAAGCUGUCUUCCUCAAGCACCCUGUCGGUCACUCCUUCAUCUCCGCUUUACACUUCUAAACUAGCUGUCAGCCCUCCGGCAGCUUGUUUGGAAUAGAGGGAUCGCCCCCGUUCCCAAGGAGGAUAUUCACGUCUGAUGCGCGAUGCCGAUAGAGAGAUCGGGGGCCUGGACUCAAGAGCGACAAGCGUUUGCCCCUGCUCUAAUCGCAGCCUCUCCGUCUGCCAUCCAUCCCUUUUGUCCGGAAUCCUUCCCCCCUCUUCUUCGCCCCCUAUCCAUCCCCUCUUGCUUACCCCCUAGACACAACACUCAACCUCCCCUCCGUCGUCACUGUCGACGAUCUUGUAUAUAUUCUUGGACCUGCCUGGCUCUUGUUCGGCUGUUGUCGAGCGCCUGUCGGGAUGGUCGUCGUGACGACAACCUUUUCUGUUGUUGCAACCAUCAUCAUCUUUUCCAUCGUUCUAUCCAUCUUGAUCUUUUCGUUCAUCCUCCUUUCCGGUCAUCAUGCGAGGGAGGCCCUCAACAUCAACUCUUUCAAGCUUCGGUCCUCCUCGGUGCAAGAUAACGGUGAAAAUCAGCCGUCAACGAGCGGUUUCCAUGGAAACAACAUAGCUUCCCCUCCCAAUCCAAAGGUGAGCGUAUUUAAGACAUUUCCACUAUCAAGAUAUUUGCCCAAUCAAGCGUUAUUGGCUACAUAGCAUCG